AACGAACGCUGGCGGCAUGCCUAACACAUGCAAGUCGAACGAGACCUUCGGGUCUAGUGGCGCACGGGUGCGUAACGCGUGGGAACCUGCCCUUAGGUUCGGAAUAACUCCCCGAAAGGGGUGCUAAUACCGGAUAAUGUCUUCGGACCAAAGAUUUCUCGCCUUUGGAUGGGCCCGCGUUGGAUUAGCUAGUUGGUAGGGUAAAAGCCUACCAAGGCGACGAUCCAUAGCUGGUCUGAGAGGAAGAUCAGCCACACUGGGACUAAGACACGGCCCAGACUCCUACGGGAGGCAGCAGUGGGGAAUAUUGGACGCUGGGCGAAAGCCUGAUCCAGCAAUGCGGCGUGAGUGAUGAAGGCCUUAGGGUUGUAAAGCUCUUUUACCCGGGAUGAUAAUGACAGUACCGGGAGAAUAAGCUCCGGCUAACUCCGUG
rnacentral:rRNA from 1 species